ensembl:lncRNA
CUUCAUCUGAAAGGAGUGGAAGAUUCAGAAACACACCAUUUUUUAAGCGUAGUAGCAGGCAUUGAUUCCCUGACGGUUUUUGCUCUCAGAAAUGAGAAAGCACACAUAAGGAAAGAAACAGAUGAAUGAUUACAACUGAUCUUCAAAGGAAGUGGCACAGUAUUAACAUAUGAAUGGAAAUCUAAUGCAUAUUUUAGAUCAUCGAAAAGAACAAGCAAAUGUGAAGUACUUGAAUGAUAUUGGGCUCCAAAAAUCAUGCAUGCAUCUCAAGAAUCUGGAAAUGGACAGCAAAUAAAUGUUGGCCUUGUGAAGACUAACCCUGUAGAAACUGAAGAUACAAAACAAAAAAGGUUCGGAGUGCAGAAGUUACCACUCUGCUUGGCUUCAUUGAUGUUGGUGGCUUUAUGUGCAAUAAGGCUGGAGAAUGCUGGAGGUGAAGAGUGAAGCUCUCCAGAGGGAACAGACAGGACCUUCUUAUGAAGAAAUAUGCAUCCGAGUCACACGAGGAGACCAGCUAUAUCACAUCCGUUGUACUUCCCAUUUCAACAAGUUGGAGAGCAAAAGCCUUCAAGUUGUUGCUGACAACAGAUUUCUAAGGAGGACAAUGCCUUUCACAGAGCAAUAUUUAAGAGCAUG